AAUAUUAAGCCUUGUCAAAAAUAGUAUAGACAAGGGGAAUCCAAUUGUUUAAUUAAAACAAAGCAUUGUGAUGGUCCCUCUGGAUGCGAACGCAAUGUGAUUUAUACCCAGUGUUAUUCAUGUGAAAGUGAAGAAAUUCAACCAAGUGUGGGUAAAUAACGAGAGUAACUAUGAAUCUCUUAAGGUAUUUAGAUUCCUAGUCAUCUAAUUAGUGACAUGUGAGAAUGGAUUAACAAGAUUCCCACUAUACCUUGCUACUAUGUAUAGAAACCACAAGAAAUGGAUACUAGC
rnacentral:ncRNA from 1 species